GGGGCAUCUGUGGAAAAAUGUUCAACAAAUAAAAUUCAUUAACAAGAUGUACACUUCAAAAAAAAAACAAAGAGAUCAGGUUUUAUCCUUAAAGUUUUCUCCAAGGUUUUCUGGUUUAUCAUAUCAAACAUACAAUUAAUUAUAUGAUCAAAUCUAAUAACUACUGACUAAAUUCAUCAAAUUCUAGUUUAUAAUGCAAGUGCAGUGCAUUUUCUUGCCGUGUAUAAUUAAGUCUUGGGAUAAGUGUUUAAUUUGCAUAUCAAGUUAAUUACGCAGUCAUUGCACUGAUUUCCAGUGUUAAUUAUUUUGUUUACAUGGCAAACAAAUAACAAUAUCUUAACGAAAACAGAAAAAACAAAACACCCUUUGACAUUUCAAUGGCAUUCCAAUUAAUCGGGAAUGUCUACUUGUUCGAUAAGACAACGAUAAAAAGCCCUUUUGACCAACAAAAGAAUUCACAGCCUAUCCAAUUUAUGAUAUAAAUGUAAAUUUCAAAUAUAUAAACAUUGAUUAUAAUGCUGGCGAUAUUAUUAUGCGGAAGACAUUUUCGAUACUCACGUUUUGAGCAAAUAAAUAUUUGCUUAACUAGAUUUCAAUUGCACAUUUACUUUUCUGAACCAAUUUGUAUGAGAAUUUCCUGAAUAUGGCUAUGGAAAAAUAUUUCAAAUGCUCAUUAAAUUGACUGGAAGCCAAAACGAAAACUGUUAACUCACGUUUCAUCAAUUACUUAGAAGACGAAGCCGACAAGUCAUAACAAAAUACAAUAAAAAAAAAGAAACUCAAUCAAAUGUCUUGCAUUAGAUUGAGCAUCGACUUUGAUAUACUCAUUUUUAUCAUAUCAAUAUCAAUCAAAUGCCAUGACUUUACGUUAUUAAAUUAUAUACAAAAUAUGAAUAGUAAAAGACUGGAUGAAAAUAAACUCCCUGUUUUGCUUAUACAUAUAGUGAGAAUAGGACAUAUAUUUGAACUGAACAAUUGAGUCAACGAAAAAGGUGAAAUAUCAGCAAAGAAUCUCAAGUAUCAAACGUGCGCUCUAGGCAAACACCCAAACCAAAAUCGGACAUAGCCAACAAACGAAAAAAAAAAUAAAAUAAAAUAAUAGAUGUUUAAUACUUCAAUUUGUAGCACUCAUAAUGAUUGGAGUCAUUAGACUCUCAACACUUUUGAUUUCUGAAAUGCGCAAAUGUCUUGAAAGUGUUAAUUAAGCGAAAUGAAGAUUAUAAUCAAAAUGAAAUCGAAAUCAAAAUCAAAUUGAAAUCAAAAUCCAAUCCAAAAUCGAAUGCAAUUUUCAAGUUUUUAAAUUUUUAUUGCUACAUAAUUUAAGUUUUAUAUCAAUUUUAAUUAGCUGCCGUCUUUUUACGCCUUCGAUUCGCACACGAAACGAUUCUACCUAUAUAGAAUAUACUUGUAGUAGAUCAGCUAAAACAAAAACAACUUAAUUUGCAUUUUGAUUUAUAAUUUCUUUUGAAACAAAAACCAUACCUAUAUACAAAUGUUCAAAAAAUAUGAUGAAUAAGUGUUGGGGGAGGGGAUGGUAAAGAGUAAACAACUUAAAUUUCAAUAAUUAGUCGCAUGCUGACAGUGGUAAAUG